GUUGAGGUAGCCAAGCUAGGUAUGGCGCGGGUUUGCUAAACCCGUGUUCCUUGCGGGACUCGAGGGUUCAAAUCCCUCCCUCAGCG
rnacentral:tRNA from 1 species